CCUUUGCAGACGACUUAAAUACACGAUGGGGUAUUGUAAGUGGCAGAGUGGCCUUGCUGCCACGAUCCACUGAGAUUCAACCCUUCGUCGCCUCGAUUCAG
rnacentral:ncRNA from 1 species